AACGUAGGGGACGAGCGUUAUCCGGAUUUACUGGGCGUAAAGCGCACGUAGGCGGAUUUGUAAGUCAGGGGUGAAAUCCCGGGGCUCAACCUCGGAACUGCCUUUGAUACUGCAAAUCUCGAGUCCGGAAGAGGUGAGUGGAAUUCCUAGUGUAGAGGUGAAAUUCGUAGAUAUUAGGAAGAACACCAGUGGCGAAGGCGGCUCACUGGUCCGGUACUGACGCUGAGGUGCGAAAGCGUGGGGAGCAAACAGG
rnacentral:rRNA from 1 species